rnacentral:rRNA from 1 species
UAAGGAAUAUUGGACAAUGGCCGCAAGGCUGAUCCAGCCAUCCAGCGUGCAGGAAGAAGGCCCUAUGGGUUGUAAACUGCUUUUAUCAGGGAAUAAACCUCUGGAUUCACUCCGGAGCUGAAGGUACCUGAAGAAUAAGCACCGGCUAACUCCGUGCCAGCAGCCGCGGUAAUACGGAGGGUGCGAGCGUUAUCCGGAAUUACUGGGUUUAAAGGGUGCGUAGGCGGCUUUGUAAGUCAGGAGUGAAAGUUUGCGGCUCAACCGUAAAAUUGCUUCUGAUACUGCAUGGCUAGAAUUAGGAUGAGGUCAGCGGAAUGUGGCAUGUAGCGGUGAAAUGCAUAGAUAUGCCAUAGAACACCAAUUGCGAAGGCAGCUGGCUAGACCUGGAUUGACGCUGAGGCACGAAAGCGUGGGGAGCGAACAGGAUUAGAUACCCUGGUAGUCCACGCCCUAAACGAUGCUUACUCGACGUAG